rnacentral:rRNA from 1 species
UACGUAGGGUGCAAGCGUUGUCCGGAAUUAUUGGGCGUAAAGAGCUCGUAGGCGGUUUGUCGCGUCUGCUGUGAAAACCCGAGGCUCAACCUCGGGCCUGCAGUGGGUACGGGCAGACUAGAGUGCGGUAGGGGAGGUUGGAAUUCCUGGUGUAGCGGUGGAAUGCGCAGAUAUCAGGAGGAACACCGGUGGCGAAGGCGGAUCUCUGGGCCAUUACUGACGCUGAGGAGCGAAAGCGUGGGGAGCGAACAGG